GGGGAAUAUUGCGCAAUGGGGGGAACCCUGACGCAGCAACGCCGCGUGAGUGACGAAGGCCUUCGGGUCGUAAAACUCUGUCAUAGGGGAAGAAGGAAGUGACGGUACCCUAUGAGGAAGCCCCGGCUAACUACGUGCCAGCAGCCGCGGUAAUACGUAGGGGGCGAGCGUUGUCCGGAAUCACUGGGCGUAAAGGGUGCGUAGGCGGCCAAUUAAGUCAGAUGUGAAAUACCAGGGCUCAACCCUGGGGGUGCAUUUGAAACUGGAUGGCUUGAGUGCAGGAGAGGAAAGUGGAACUCCUAGUGUAGCGGUGAAAUGCGUAGAGAUUAGGAGGAACACCAGUGGCGAAGGCGACUUUCUGGACUGUAACUGACGCUGAGGCACGAAAGCGUGGGUAGCGAAC
rnacentral:rRNA from 1 species